GAAUUUUGAAAAAUACCUUUCAAUAGUCGACAUAUCCAACUGCAGUGGAAUUUGCUCCAAAGUUGACUAAACUUUAGGCAACCAUGAAGACUCACCUAAAAAGGACUCAACAAUGUUAUAAGCUUCUGGCAGAUGAAAUGAAGAAGGAACAUCUUUUAUUCUAAGUUGCUGAAAAAGUAUGGCUUCUUUGGGUCAAUAUAAAAACCAAAAAACCAUGUAAUAAGUUAGACUAUCAAAGACUGGAAUCAUUUGUGAUUGAAAAAUAAAUUAAUUCCAUAACUUAUAACUUGAAAUUACCUUCAUUUAUGAAGAUUCAUCCAGUCUUUCAUGUUUUACUUUUGAAAAGGUAUAAAGAAUCGAACAUACCAGGUUGAAGA
rnacentral:lncRNA from 1 species